CUAUGGAGCAGUCAUUAUGAGAAAAUGCAGGAUGAGUUGGGGAGAUUGAAAGAUGAGAACACUGCACUUAAAAGAGAGAUCAUGCAGAGAAGAGGUGAAGAAGUUGAUGGUAUGGAUAUAAAGGAACUAUGCAAUCUUGAGGAGGAAAUGCUUAAUGCUGCCAAAAUCAUACAAACUAGAAAGGUUUCAUUUGCAUCCAAUCCAAAUCUCUGCUCUUUAUUGCUUUCACUCUUGUUGUGUUUGGAUCUACUAAGAAUUGUUGCUAAUUUCUUUAUAGUUAUGGAUUAUUUGAACUGAAUUAAGCUGUCUAAUUAAUUGCUUGGUUAAGUAGUUUAUGAAUUAGCUUGUCUCACCCUUUGCCUUAUACUUUUGAUAUGAAGAAGCACAAUGAUCCAACAUGUAUGCAAGUUAGAAUUAUGUUGAUGUUGUGAUUACAUAUAUCUUGUAAAAUUUG